rnacentral:rRNA from 1 species
UAGGGAAUCUUCCGCAAUGGACGAAAGUCUGACGGAGCAACGCCGCGUGAGUGAAGAAGGAUUUCGGUUCGUAAAACUCUGUUGUUAGGGAAGAAAAAAUGUAUAGUAACUAUAUACAAAAGAGACGGUACCUAACCAGAAAGCCACGGCUAACUACGUGCCAGCAGCCGCGGUAAUACGUAGGUGGCAAGCGUUGUCCGGAAUUAUUGGGCGUAAAGCGCGCGCAGGUGGUUUAGAAAGUCUGAUGUGAAAGCCCACGGCUCAACCGUGGAGGGUCAUUGGAAACUAAUAAACUUGAGUGCAGGAGAGAAAAGUGGAAUUCCUAGUGUAGCGGUGAAAUGCGUAGAGAUUAGGAGGAACACCGGUGGCGAAAGCGGCUUUUUGGCCUGCAACUGACACUGAGGCGCGAAAGCGUGGGGAACAAACAGG